rnacentral:rRNA from 1 species
AUUGAACGCUGGCGGCAGGCCUAACACAUGCAAGUCGAGCGGAUGAAGAGAGCUUGCUCUCUGAUUCAGCGGCGGACGGGUGAGUGAUGCCUAGGAAUCUGCCUGGUAGUGGGGGACAACGUUUCGAAAGGAACGCUAAUACCGCAUACGUCCUACGGGAGAAAGCAGGGGACGUUCGGGCCUUGCGCUAUCAGAUGAGCCUAGGUCGGAUUAGCUAGUAGGUGGGGUAAAGGCUCACCUAGGCGACGAUCCGUAACUGGUCUGAGAGGAUGAUCAGUCGCACUGGAACUGAGACACGGUCCAAACUCCUACGGGAGGCAGCAGUGGGGAAUAUUGGACAAUGGGCGAAAGCCUGAUCCAGCCAUGCCGCGUGUGUGAAGAAGGUCUUCGGAUUGUAAAGCACUUUAAGUUGGGAGGAAGGGCAGUAAGUUAAUACCUUGCUGUUUUGACGUUACCAACAGAAUAAGCACCGGCUAACUUCGUGCCAGCCGCCGCAGUAAUAC